rnacentral:rRNA from 1 species
AUUGAACGCUGGCGGCAGGCCUAACACAUGCAAGUCGAGCGGAUGAAGGGAGCUUGCUCCUGGAUUCAGCGGCGGACGGGUGAGUAAUGCCUAGGAAUCUGCCUGGUAGUGGGGGAUAACGUCCGGAAACGGGCGCUAAUACCGCAUACGUCCUGAGGGAGAAAGUGGGGGAUCUUCGGACCUCACGCUAUCAGAUGAGCCUAGGUCGGAUUAGCUAGUUGGUGGGGUAAAGGCCUACCAAGGCGACGAUCCGUAACUGGUCUGAGAGGAUGAUCAGUCACACUGGAACUGAGACACGGUCCAGACUCCUACGGGAGGCAGCAGUGGGGAAUAUUAGACGAGGGGGGAAAGCCUGAUCCAGCCAUGCCGCGUGUGUGAAGAAGGUCUUCGGAUUGUAAAGCACUUUAAGUUGGGAGGAAGGGCAGUAAGUUAAUACCUUGCUGUUUUGACGUUACCAACAGAAUAAGCACCGGCUAACUUCGUG